UACGUAGGGGGCAAGCGUUGUCCGGAAUCAUUGGGCGUAAAGAGCGUGUAGGCGGCCCAGUAAGUCCGCUCUGAAAGUCCGGGGCUCAACCCCGGGAGGCGGGUGGAUACUGCUGGGCUCGAGUCCGGAAGAGGCGAGUGGAAUUCCUGGUGUAGCGGUGAAAUGCGCAGAUAUCAGGAGGAACACCUAUGGCGAAGGCAGCUCGCUGGGACGGUACUGACGCUGAGACGCGAAAGCGUGGGGAGCAAACAGG
rnacentral:rRNA from 1 species